AGGUAUAUAGCUCAGUGGUAGAGUACAUGCUGGGCAUGGAUGAAGUCCUGGGUUCAAUCCCCAGUGCCUCCA
rfam:Camelus ferus unplaced genomic scaffold scaffold45, whole genome shotgun sequence.